rnacentral:sRNA from 1 species
UGCUACUUGGAUCAGUAUGGUUAAAUAGC